CUGACUCUAUGUGAUCUCAGACGUUAAGAGAUCAUUGGUGCCUGUUGAAUCUACAACAGAGCGGCCGACGCUUGAUUCUGUGGAAAACAUUAAGAAAUUAUUGGUGCCUGCUGAGCCAAAAAAAAUAAUCCUAGCUUAAUGCUAGGGAGGUUUAUCUUUAUGGACAUCAUUAUCACGACUUAAAAGGUGAAUGCAUAUUAAAGCGGAAAAACUGGAGAUGGUGAAGGAUGUUGAUAUUUUUUUCGUUUUAUGUCAAGUAAUGUUUUUUGUUCAAAACUGCCUGUCCUCCUCCUAAGUCCGGAAAAAAUAACUAACAUUAUGUAUUUAGAAACAAUUUGUAUUUCGGAACACACAUCUCAUAAAAUAGAAAUGACUCCCUAAAAGUAGAGAUGCUGAAGCUUCUGAAUAAAUUUGUUACUCUGCAUCAUACGAUGCGUCGAGUACUUAAUUGAAACGUGA